rnacentral:rRNA from 1 species
UACGUAGGGGGCGAGCGUUGUCCGGAUUCAUUGGGCGUAAAGAGCUCGUAGGCGGUUCAGUAAGUCAGGUGUGAAAUCUCCGCGCUCAACGCGGAGCGGCCACCUGAUACUGCUGUGACUCGAGUCCGGUAGGGGAGUGUGGAAUUCCAGGUGUAGCGGUGAAAUGCGUAGAUAUCUGGAGGAAUACCGGUGGCGAAGGCGGCAUCCUGGACCGACAUUGACGCUGAAACCGAAAGCUAGGGGAGCAAACAGG